rnacentral:lncRNA from 1 species
UUUGUGAGAUUGGGAGAGAACGAGGAGAAAGGCAUCUGUUACUAUUCCCAUUUUUUUUCUUUAAUUUAUUUUAAACAGAAUAAGUUUUUUGAAACCAUUAAAAAUUUUGUUUAAACUUCCUAAGUUUAGUUAAUAAAUAUUUCCUCCUUUUCAAUUCAUAUUCUCUUUGAAAAACCCAACAGCCAGGCGGCUAGGGUAUCUUUCUUUGUUUUCUCCCAUUUGGUAGUCCAACAGACUACUUCCUUUUAGUUUCUAUUUUCUUUUUUAAUAAAAAAAACUUUUAUUCUUUUUUUUUN